ACGCUGGCGGCACGCCUAACACAUGCAAGUCGAACGAAGUAGCAAUACUUAGUGGCAGACGGGUGAGUAACAUGUAGGUAUCUGCCCUUUGGCCUGGAAUAACACGAGGAAACUUGUGCUAAUACCGGAUAAGUCUUUACGGAGAAAGCUUUAUGCACCAUUGGAUGAGCCUGCACUUGAUUAGUUUGUUGGUGGGGUAAUGGCCUACCAAGACUGUGAUCAAUAGCUGAUUUGAGAGGAUGAUCAGCCACAUUGGGACUGAGACACGGCCCAAACUCCUACGGGAGGCAGCAGUGGGGAAUCUUGCACAAUGGAGGAAACUCUGAUGCAGCGAUGCCGCGUGAGUGAAGAAGGCCCUUGGGUUGUAAAGCUCUUUCGUCGGGGAAGAAAAUGACUGUACCCGAAUAAGAAGGUCCGGCUAACUUCGUGCCAGCAGCCGCGGUAAUACGAAGGGACCUAGCGUAGUUCGGAAUUACUGGGCUUAAAGAGUUCGUAGGUGGUUGAAAAAGUUAGUGGUGAAAUCCCAGAGCUUAACUCUGGAACUGCCAUUAAAACUUUUCAGCUAGAGUAUGAUAGAGGAAAGCAGAAUUUCUAGUGUAGAGGUGAAAUUCGUAGAUAUUAGAAAGAAUACCAAUUGCGAAGGCAGCUUUCUGGAUCAUUACUGACACUGAGGAACGAAAGCAUGGGUAGCGAAGAGGAUUAGAUACCCUCGUAGUCCAUGCCGUAAACGAUGUGUGUUAGACGUUGGAAAUUUAUUUUCAGUGUCGCAGGGAAACCGAUAAACACACCGCCUGGGGAGUACGACCGCAAGGUUAAAACUCAAAUGAAUUGACGGGGACCCGCACAAGUAGUGGAGCAUGUGGUUUAAUUCGAAGAUACGCGCAGAACCUUACCAACACUUGACAUGUUCGUCGCGACUCUAAGAGAUUAGAGUUUUCGGUUCGGCCGGACGAAACACAGGUGCUGCAUGGCUGUCGUCAGCUCGUGUCGUGAGAUGUUGGGUUAAGUCCCGCAACGAGCGCAACCCUCACUUUUAGUUGCCAUCAUUAAGUUGGGCACUCUGAAAGAACUGCCAGUGAUAAGCUGGAGGAAGGUGGGGAUGACGUCAAGUCCUCAUGGCCCUUACGUGUUGGGCUACACACGUGCUACAAUGGUAUCUACAACAGGAAGCAAGACUGCGAAGUUAAGCAAAUCCCUAAAAGAUACCUCAGUUCGGAUUGCACUCUGCAACUCGAGUGCAUGAAGCUGGAAUUACUAGUAAUCGUGGAUCAGCGUGCCACGGUGAAUGCGUUCCCGGGUCUUGUACACACCGCCCGUCACACCAUGGGAGUUGGUUCUACCUUAAGGCAAGGUUUUAAACCCUUGACCACGGUAUAGUCAGCGACUGGGGUGAAGUCGUAACAAGGUAGCCGUAGGGGAACCUGCGGCUGGAUUACCUCCUUUCU
rnacentral:rRNA from 1 species